rnacentral:rRNA from 1 species
AGUACCGUGAGGGAAAGGUGAAAAGAACCCCGGGAGGGGAGUGAAAGAGAACCUGAAACCAUAUGCUUACAAGAAGUCAGAGCCCGUUAAGGGGUGAUGGCGUGCCUUUUGUAGAAUGAGCCGGCGAGUUAUGAUAUGCAGCGAGGUUAAGCAGGAGAUGCGGAGCCGAAGCGAAAGCGAGUCUGAAUAGGGCGAGAGUUGUAUGUCAUAGACCCGAAACCGAGUGAUCUAGCCAUGAUCAGGUUGAAGUUGGGGUAAAACCCGAUGGAGGACCGAACCGACCCCCGUUGAAACGUUGGCGGAUGAAUUGUGGCUAGGGGUGAAAUUCCAAACGAACUCGGAGAUAGCUGGUUCUCCCCGAAAUAGCUUUAGGGCUAGCGUCAGAGUGAAAGUUAUGUGAAGGUAGAGCACUGAAUAUGUGAUGGCCUCAUCCCGAGGUACUGAAUAUAAUCAAACUCCGAAUGUCACAGGAACAUAUCUGGCAGUCAGACUGCGGGUGAUAAGGUCCGUAGUCAAAAGGGAAACAGCCCAGACCAUCAGCUAAGGUCCCAAAAUAUAUGCUAAGUGGAAAAGGAUGUGGAGAUGUCCAGACAACCAGGAGGUUGGCUCAGAAGCAGCCACCCUUUAAAGAGUGCGUAACAGCUCACUGGUCGAAUGACUCUGCGCCGAAAAUUUACCGGGGCUAAGCAUAAUACCGAAGCUAUGGAUUUAUACGACAAGUAUAAGUGGUAGGGGAGCGUUCCUGUCAGCGAGGAAGCAUGACCGCAAGGACAUGUGGAGCGGCAGGAAGAGAGAAUGCCGGUGUGAGUAGCGGAACGUGGGUGAGAAUCCCACGCACCGAAUACCCAAGGUUUCCAGAGGAAGGUUCGUCCGCUCUGGGUAAGUCGGGACCUAAGGCGAGGCCGAAAGGCGUAGUCGAUGGACAACGGGUGGAGAUUCCCGUACCUGAUGAAGAGGCAAUGGAGUGACGGAGCAGGCUAGGCGAUCCAGCUGCUGGAAUAGCUGGUGCAAGCGAGGUAGGGGACAUCCAGGCAAAUCCGGAUGUUGAAACCCGAAGGCGUGACGCGUAUGGAACAUUACGAUAAGUACAGAAGUCGCCGAAGCAAGCUUCCAAGAAAAGCUUCUAGCAAUCAACUCUUUGUCAGCCCGUACCGAAAAUGGACACACAUGGGUGAGGAGAGAAUCCUAAGGUGAGCGAGAGAACUAUAGCUAAGGAACUCUGCAAAAUGACUCCGUAACUUCGGGAGAAGGAGUGCUCAUUGAGAGAUGAGCCGCAGUAAAACGGCCCAAGCGACUGUUUACCAAAAACACAGCUCUCUGCCAAGACGCAAGUCGAAGUAUAGGGGGUGACGCCUGCCCGGUGCUGGAAGGUUAAGAGGAGUGGUCAGCGCAAGCGAAGCCAUGAAUUGAAGCCCCAGUAAACGGCGGCCGUAACUAUAACGGUCCUAAGGUAGCGAAAUUCCUUGUCAGGUAAGUUCUGACCCGCACGAAAGGCGUAACGAUUUGGGCGCUGUCUCAGCUGUAGACUCGGUGAAGUCUUAGUACCUGUGAAGAUGCAGGUUACCCGCGACUAGACGGAAAGACCCCAUGGAGCUUUACUGUAGCUUGAUAUUGGAUUUUGAUGCAUGAUGUACAGGAUAGGUAGGAGACGAAGAGACGGAUACGCCAGUAUUCGAGGAGUCGCCGUUGGGAUACUACCCUUCAUGUAUUGAAGUUCUAACCGGACGCCAUAAGCUGGCGACGGGACAGUGUCAGGUGGGCAGUUUGACUGGGGCGGUCGCCUCCCAAAGAGUAACGGAGGCGCCCAAAGAUACCCUCAGCAUGGUUGGAAAUCAUGCGUAGAGUGCAAAGGCAAAAGGGUGUUUGACUGCGAGACCAACAAGUCGAGCAGGGACGAAAGUCGGGCUUAGUGAUCCGGCGGUGCCGAAUGGAAGGGCCGUCGCUCAACGGAUAAAAGCUACCCUGGGGAUAACAGGCUGAUCUCCCCCAAGAGUUCACAUCGACGGGGAGGUUUGGCACCUCGAUGUCGGCUCAUCGCAUCCUGGAGCUGAAGUCGGUUCCAAGGGUUGGGCUGUUCGCCCAUUAAAGCGGUACGCGAGCUGGGUUCAGAACGUCGUGAGACAGUUCGGUCCCUAUCUGUCGUGGGCGUAGGAAGUUUGAGGAGAGCUGCCCUCAGUACGAGAGGACCGGGGUGGACAGACCAAUGGUGCACCAGUUGUCACGCCAGUGGCACAGCUGGGUAGCUAAGUCUGGAAGGGAUAAACGCUGAAGGCAUCUAAGUGUGAAGCCCCCUCCAAGAUGAGACUUCCCAUUCU